UACGGAGGGGGCUAGCGUUGUUCGGAAUUAUUGGGCGUAAAGCGCGUGUAGGCGGCUUUGCAAGUCGGGUGUGAAAGCCCUCAGCUCAACUGAGGAAGUGCGCCCGAAACUGCAGAGCUUGAGUACCGGAGAGGAUGGUGGAAUUCCCCAAGUAGAGGUGAAAUUCGUAGAUAUGGGGAGGAACACCGGUGGCGAAGGCGACCAUCUGGACGGAUACUGACGCUGAGACGCGAAAAGCGUGGGGAGCAAACAGG
rnacentral:rRNA from 1 species